rnacentral:rRNA from 1 species
UACCAGCUCUCCGAGUUGUAGGGAUGAUUAUUGGGCUUAAAGCGUCCGUAGCUGGCUUAGCAAGUCUCCUGUUAAAUUCAGCGACCUAAUCGUUGAGCCGCGGGAGAUACUACUAGGCUAGGAGGCGGGAGAGGUCGACGGUACUUUCGGGGUAGGGGUGAAAUCCUAUAAUCCCGGGAGGACCACCAGUGGCGAAGGCUGUCGACUAGAACGCGCUCGACGGUGAGGGACGAAAGCUGGGGGAGCGAACCGGAUUAGAUACCCGGGUAGUCCCAGCUGUAAACUAUGCGGGCUAGGUGUUGGGGUGGCUACGGGCCACUUCAGUGCCGCAGGAAAGCCAUUAAGCCCGCCGCCUGGGGAGUACGGCCGCAAGGCUGAAGCUUAAAGGAAUUGGCGGGGGAGCACCACAAGGCGUGAAGCUUGCGGUUC